GAAUCCCGUCUUUGGCACGGAUGCCUGGUGCUUCUGUGAUGCGCUCUCGAAGAGUCGAGUUGUUUGGGAAUGCAGCUCAAAAUGGGUGGUGAACUCCAUCUAAAGCUAAAUAUUGGCGAGAGACCGAUAGCGAACAAGUACCGUGAGGGAAAGAUGAAAAGCACUUUGGAAAGAGAGUGAAACAGUACGUGAAAUUGUUGAAAGGGAAACGCUUGAAGUCAGUCGCGUCGACCGAGACUCAGCCUCGCCUUGGCUUGGUGUACUUCUCGGCACGACGGGUCAGCAUCAAUUUUGCCCCUCGGAUAAUGGCAGGGGAAAGGUGGCACCUUUACGGGUGUGUUAUAGUCUUCUGUCGCAUGCGAGGGGUGGGAUUGAGGAACUCAGCGCGCACCUCAGUGUCGGGGCUUCGGCCCACGUCACGCGCUUAGGAUGCUGGCGUAAUGGCUUUAAACGACCCGUCUUGAAACACGGACCAAGGAGUCCAACACGCCCGCGAGUGUUCGGGUGGAAAACCCGUGCGCGUAAUGAAAGUGAAAGUUGGGACCUCUGUCGUGGAGGGCACCGACGCCCGGACCAGACCUUCUGUGACGGCUCUGCGGUAGAGCAUGUAUGUUAGGACCCGAAAGAUGGUGAACUAUGCCUGAAUAGGGUGAAGCCAGAGGAAACUCUGGUGGAGGCUCGUAGCGAUUCUGACGUGCAAAUCGAUCGUCAAAUUUGGGUAUAGGGGCGAAAGACUAAUCGAACCAUCUAGUAGCUGGUUCCUGCC
rnacentral:rRNA from 1 species